AAUGAACGUUGGCGGCGUGGAUUAGGCAUGCAAGUCGUACGAGUCGGUGUAGCAAUACAACGGCAAGUGGCGAAAGGGAGAGUAACACGUAGAUACCUACCCUCUGGUCGGGAUACCGCGGCAUAACCGCAAGUAAUACCCGAUAAAAUCUCCGGAUCAAAGGUGUGAUUCCGCCGGAGGAGGGGUCUGCGUUCUAUCAGCUUGUUGGUGAGGUAAUGGCUCACCAAGGCUAAGACGGAUACGGGGUGUGAGAGCAUGCCCCCGCUCACUGGGACUGAGACACUGCCCAGACACCUACGGGUGGCUGCAGUCGAGAAUCUUCGGCAAUGGGCGCAAGCCUGACCGAGCGACGCCGCGUGCGGGAUGAAGGCCUUCGGGUUGUAAACCGCUGUCGAGGGGAAUGAAGUGUAGGUGGGUACUCCCAUCUAUUUGACAGAUCCCUGGAGGAAGCAUGGGCUAAGUUCGUGCCAGCAGCCGCCGUAACAC
rnacentral:rRNA from 1 species